rnacentral:rRNA from 1 species
GACAGAGGGUGCAAACGUUGUUCGGAAUUACUGGGCGUAAAGCGCGUGUAGGCGGCUAUGCAAGUCGGAUGUGAAAGCCCCUCGGCUCAACCGGGGGAAGUGCACCCGAAACUGCAAAGCUAGAGUCUCGGAGAGGAUCGUGGAAUUCUCGGUGUAGAGGUGAAAUUCGUAGAUAUCGAGAGGAACACCGGUGGCGAAGGCGGCGAUCUGGACGAUGGACUGACGCUGAGACGCGACAGC